GAUGAACGCUGGCGGCGUGCCUAAUACAUGCAAGUCGAGCGAACAGACGAGGAGCUUGCUCCUCUGACGUUAGCGGCGGACGGGGGAGUAAAACGUGGAUAACCUACCUAUAAGACUGGGAUAACUUCGGGAAACCGGAGCUAAUACCGGAUAAUAUAUUGAACCGCAUGGUUCAAUAGUGAAAGACGGUUUUGCUGUCACUUAUAGAUGGAUCCGCGCCGCAUUAGCUAGUUGGUAAGGUAACGGCUUACCAAGGCAACGAUGCGUAGCCGACCUGAGAGGGUGAUCCGCCACACUGGAACUGAGACACGGUCCAGACUCCUACGGGAGGCAGCAGUAGGGAAUCUUCCGCAAUGGGCGAAAGCCUGACGGAGCAACGCCGCGUGAGUGAUGAAGGUCUUCGGAUCGUAAAACUCUGUUAUUAGGGAAGAACAAAUGUGUAAGUAACUAUGCACGUCUUGACGGUACCUAAUCAGAAAGCCACGGCUAACUACGUG
rnacentral:rRNA from 1 species